GAUGAACGCUGGCGGCGUGCCUAAUACAUGCAAGUCGAGCGAACAGAUAAGGAGCUUGCUCCUUUGACGUUAGCGGCGGACGGGUGAGUAACACGUGGGUAACCUACCUAUAAGACUGGGAUAACUUCGGGAAACCGGAGCUAAUACCGGAUAACAUUUGGAACCGCAUGGUUCUAAAGUGAAAGAUGGUUUUGCUAUCACUUAUAGAUGGACCCGCGCCGUAUUAGCUAGUUGGUAAGGUAACGGCUUACCAAGGCAACGAUACGUAGCCGACCUGAGAGGGUGAUCGGCCACACUGGAACUGAGACACGGUCCAGACUCCUACGGGAGGCGGCAGUAGGGAAUCUUCCGCAAUGGGCGAAAGCCUGACGGAGCAACGCCGCGUGAGUGAUGAAGGGUUUCGGCUCGUAAAACUCUGUUAUUAGGGAAGAACAAACGUGUAAGUAACUGUGCACGUCUUGACGGUACCUAAUCAGAAAGCCACGGCUAACUACGUG
rnacentral:rRNA from 1 species